CGUGUAGGCGGAUCGGCCAGUCAGAUGUGAAAGCCCCGGGCUUAACCUGGGAACUGCAUUUGAUACUGCCGAUCUAGAGUCCGGGAGAGGAUAGUGGAAUUCCCAGUGUAGAGGUGAAAUUCGUAGAUAUUGGGAAGAACACCAGUGGCGAAGGCGGCUAUCUGGACCGGUACUGACGCUGAGGCGCGAAAGCGUGGGGAGCAAACA
rnacentral:rRNA from 1 species